rnacentral:rRNA from 1 species
GGAAACGGGUUAAUAUUCCCGUACUUGGUGUUACUGCGAAGGGGGGACGGAGAAGGCUAUGUUGGCCGGGCGACGGUUGUCCCGGUUUAAGCGUGUAGGUGUGUGUUCCAGGUAAAUCCGGUUCACUUUAACACUGAGGCGUGACGACGAGGCACUACGGUGCUGAAGCAACAAAUGCCCUGCUUCCAGGAAAAGCCUCUAAGCAUCAGGUAACAUCAAAUCGUACCCCAAACCGACACAGGUGGUCAGGUAGAGAAUACCAAGGCGCUUGAGAGAACUCGGGUGAAGGAACUAGGCAAAAUGGUGCCGUAACUUCGGGAGAAGGCACGCUGACACGUAGGUGAAGUGAUUUACUCAUGGAGCUGAAGUCAGUCGAAGAUACCAGCUGGCUGCAACUGUUUAUUAAAAACACAGCACUGUGCAAACACGAAAGUGGACGUAUACGGUGUGACGCCUGCCCGGUGCCGGAAGGUUAAUUGAUGGGGUCAGCGCAAGCGAAGCUCCUGAUCGAAGCCCCGGUAAACGGCGGCCGUAACUAUAACGGUCCUAAGGUAGCGAAAUUCCUUGUCGGGUAAGUUCCGACCUGCACGAAUGGCGUAAUGAUGGCCAGGCUGUCUCCACCCGAGACUCAGUGAAAUUGAACUCGCUGUGAAGAUGCAGUGUACCCGCGGCAAGACGGAAAGACCCCGUGAACCUUUACUAUAGCUUGACACUGAACAUUGAGCCUUGAUGUGUAGGAUAGGUGGGAGGCUUUGAAGUGUGGACGCCAGUCUGCAUGGAGCCGACCUUGAAAUACCACCCUUUAAUGUUUGAUGUUCUAACGUGGACCCGUUACCCGGGUUGCGGACAGUGUCUGGUGGGUAGUUUGACUGGGGCGGUCUCCUCCUAAAGAGUAACGGAGGAGCACGAAGGUUGGCUAAUCCUGGUCGGACAUCAGGAGGUUAGUGCAAUGGCAUAAGCCAGCUUGACUGCGAGCGUGACGGCGCGAGCAGGUGCGAAAGCAGGUCAUAGUGAUCCGGUGGUUCUGAAUGGAAGGGCCAUCGCUCAACGGAUAAAAGGUACUCCGGGGAUAACAGGCUGAUACCGCCCAAGAGUUCAUAUCGACGGCGGUGUUUGGCACCUCGAUGUCGGCUCAUCACAUCCUGGGGCUGAAGUAGGUCCCAAGGGUAUGGCUGUUCGCCAUUUAAAGUGGUACGCGAGCUGGGUUUAGAACGUCGUGAGACAGUUCGGUCCCUAUCUGCCGUGGGCGCUGGAGAACUGAGGGGGGCUGCUCCUAGUACGAGAGGACCGGAGUGGACGCAUCACUGGUGUUCGGGUUGUCAUGCCAAUGGCACUGCCCGGUAGCUAAAUGCGGAAGAGAUAAGUGCUGAAAGCAUCUAAGCACGAAACUUGCCCCGA